CGAAAAAAACUAGAAUAAUUUCAUUGAGAGGAAGAGCUUUGAACAUGGAGUAAUGACAGUUAACUAUGUAGUCAUCUCAUAACAGUAAUACAGAUGACUAAACUCCACAUUUUGCACAUCAAUUAUUCUCCCUCUUUUCCUCUUCUUGCUGCUGCUGCUGCUGCUUCUUUUCUUAAGUUCUUGGUGCUAGAUCCAACUUCUAAGCACAAUCUUUGGUACCAGAUCUGAACACACAAGCAGAACAACAACAAGAACAAGAAGAAGAUUCUAAAUGCCAAAGGGAGAUGAGUACAUGAUAAUUAGGAAACAACCCUUGGAAUAUUGAAUCUGGUGGAGUGUGGUGGGAUGAUGGCAUGGUGGUGGCGGCUAGCCGAGUAAGGCUUCUCCAGAUAGGCCACAGUUGGUGAAGGGCUCACUUGCAUGAACAUAUAGUUCCCUGCAAACAGCUCCCCAACGUAAGGCCUCCCUUCCUUCAAUCUUUUCAGCACCUUCCUCACCGCAGCCCCCACCACCUUGGCUUUCCUCCUUAACAGCCUCCUCAGCCCCGCCACUCGGACCCUCGGCCUCCGCCACCGCCUUGCCCCGGUGCCAAGCCUCAGCCAGCUCCUCCUCCCCCUCCUCCUUACCACCACCACCCCUUCUUCUGCUUCAUCUUCUUCUAGCCCUGAGGGGAGUUUUCUUAGCCUUUGGUAGGAGAACUUGGUGGAGGAAGCCAUCUUUCACAGUGAGGGAUGAGGCAAGUUUAGUUGAGUUGAUGGAUGGUUGUGGUGAUGGGGAGGACUAACCUCCUUUUCAUGGAGAUUUCCCAUGCCUCUUUGUGCUUUCUUUGGCCAUAAAGAGGGUCCAGUGGGGUUGGAGGGAAGCUGUUAGGGUUAUUUAAUGCUGGCUGGUGGAUUAGAAGCUUGGGUGGAACCCAUGCACCUCGGUUGCCAGCUGGUAGUUAGUUCCCUCAUUCUCACUCCAAGAAGGUGGUCCCUUUUAACGCACCACCAAGCAGCAUGCAGUUCACCUCUCUCACGCAAGUCUUGUCUCUCGUUAGAAAAAGAUGGCUCCAGGAGAUAAAAAAUAACUGGAAGAGAGUAGUUAUACGAGGCAUUGAAAGUUACAUGGCAUGGAGGCUUCUUCCAUGGGCCUAGGAUGAUAAGCAAAGGCUGGUACCUGGCAAUUCCAUCUUGUUGUCAGUCUCUGUCAAGGUCAAAUUUUUUCGAGAUAUGUUCGCCAGAAGGUUCAGUGGUUCAUGUCGGAGGGCAGUAAUUUUUCCAGUGAUUUUUUCAGUAUGGUAUUUGAUGUAAGAAUUAUAUAGUAAUAUUCAAAGAGACCUGUGAUCUCACGACACAGGAGAUGCUGCUUGAUAAGAUGAACGGAAUCAGAAGUUUGGCUUCAAUGUAAUUCUAAUUCAUAUAUUUGCGUCCCUGCAGCUAAUUUUUUGUUGCAUGUAAGCCGAUCGACAGGGGUCUUCUUCUGGCUGAAAGUUCCAGGUGAUAAAUUUGGACCAGAUCAGCUAACUUGGAAAUAAAGCACAUAUAUAUAUACUAAUAUACACACACACAGGUGUGUGUGUGAGAGAGAGAGAGAGAGAGAAUGAAGCAUUCUAAGGUUGAUGGGCAAUGAACAAUAUUAGCCAACAGUGGAUGAAGAGAAGUUCAAUGAUCAAUGACCACCUGAUUGGAGGAAAUAUCAAUAAGCUCCUGUAAACAACUGAAUGGAAGAAUCUAUAUAUGGAUAUAUCCCUUUCAUUAAGUUCCACACUUCUAAAGGCAAUGGUCAAUGUCUUCGAUAUUAAGUUGUCGUAGCUCAUAAGUAGUGGCCUGUUGCUACUUCAGUUCCCCACUUCUAAAGGCGAUGGUCAAUGUCUUUGAUAUUAAGGCGAUGGUCAUGCCUCUUGAGUGAAGAAAGGCUUUGCGUGGAAGACGACCCCAGACACACCUUCCACCAGGACACCUUAACUCUAGGAGCAGCCUUGAGACGCCAAAUCCAACUUAAAUUUUGGCGAUUUCUGCAUCGACAUCUUUGAUCUUCAGCUUAUUGCCUCCUGCCAUGAAACAAUCUUCACCUUGAUAUUUGGGGAUAUUAAGGGCCAUUACACGAGCAACAUAGUCUUCUGAAAAAUUUUAAAAACAUCC
rnacentral:lncRNA from 1 species